rnacentral:rRNA from 1 species
AGCUCCAAUAGCGUAUAUUAAAGUUGUUGCAGUUAAAAGCUCGUAGUUGGAUUUCUGGCAGAGUGUUCUCCGGCCGGGCGAACCUUGGUCCGGAGCGCUCUACCAUCCUUCUGUUAACUAUCUUAUUCUUCAUUGAGUAAUUUAGGGCUCAGAUAUUUUACCUUGAGAAAAUUAGAGUGUUUCAGGCAGGCUUACGCCGGAAUACAUUAGCAUGGAAUAAUGGAAAAGGACUUCAACCUCUUCUGUUGGUCUGGGAGGCUGUAGUAAUGAUUAAUAGGGAUAGUUGGGGGCAUUAGUACUUAACUGUCAGAGGUGAAAUUCUCCGAUUUGUUAAAGACUAACUUAUGCGAAAGCAUUUGCCAAGGAUGUUUUCA